rnacentral:rRNA from 1 species
UAGCGACAGGCCUAACACAUGCAAGUCAGGGGCAGCACAAGGAGCAAUCUGAGGUGGCGACCGGCGCACGGGUGAGUAACACGUAUGUAACCUGCCUGUAAGCGGGGAAUAACCCGUUGAAAGACGGACUAAUACCGCAUAAUACUAAAUUACUGCAUGGUAAUUUAUUUAAACAUUUUAUGGCUUACAGAUGGGCAUGCGCAUGAUUAGCUAGUUGGAGAGGUAACGGCUCCCCAAGGCAACGAUCAUUAGGGGUUCUGAGAGGAAGGUCCCCCACACUGGUACUGAGACACGGACCAGACUCCUACGGAGGCAGCAGUGAGGAAUAUUGGUCAAUGGACGAGAGUCUGAACCAGCCAAGUCGCGUGCAGGAAGAAUGUCCCUAUGGAUUGUAAACUGCUUUUGCAGGGGAAUAAAGUGCAUCACGUGUGAUGUUUUGUAUGUACUCUGCGAAUAAGGACCGGCUAACUCCGUGCCAGCCGCUGC